UACGGAGGGUGCAAGCGUUAUCCGGAUUCACUGGGUUUAAAGGGUGCGUAGGCGAAUAGGUAAGUCCGUGGUGAAAUCCUGCAGCUUAACUGCAGAACUGCCAUGGAUACUAUUUAUCUUGAAUGUCGUGGAGGUUAGCAGAAUAUGUCAUGUAGCGGUGAAAUGCUUAGAUAUGACAUAGAAUACCCAUUGCGAAGGCAGCUAACUACGCGAUAAUUGACGCUGAUGCACGAAAGCGUGGGGAUCAAACAGG
rnacentral:rRNA from 1 species